rnacentral:rRNA from 1 species
GAGACGACGCUGGCGGCGUGCUUAAUACAUGCAAGUCGAGCGAGACCCUUGAUGAAGCUUGCGAUUCAAGAGUUUAGCGGCGGACGGGUGAGUAACGCGUGGGCAACCUGCCCUCUAGUCUGGGAUAACAGAGCGAAAGUUCUGCUAACACCGGAUAUGCCUACAGUCAGGCAUCUGAAGGUAAGGAAAGGAUACGCUAGAGGAUGGGCCCGCGUCCCAUUAGCUAGUUGGUGAGGUAACGGCUCACCAAGGCGACGAUGGGUAGCCGACCUGAGAGGGUGACCGGCCACACUGGGACUGAGACACGGCCCAGACUCCUACGGGAGGCAGCAGUAGGGAAUUUUCCGCAAUGGGCGAAAGCCUGACGGAGCAACGCCGCGUGAAGGAAGAAGGUCUUCGGAUCGUAAACUUUUGUCUUCAGGGACGAUAAUGACGGUACCUGAGGAGGAAGCCACGGCUAACUACGUG